UGUAGUCUGCAACCCGACUACAUGAAGCCGGAAUCGCUAGUAAUCGCAGAUCAGCAUGCUGCGGUGAAUACGUUCCCGGGUCUUGUACACACCGCCCGUCACACCAUGGGAGCCGGGAAUGCCCGAAGUCGGUGACCCAACCGUAAGGAGGGAGCCGCCGAAGGCAGGCCUGGUAACUGGGGUGAAGUCGUAACAAGGUACC
rnacentral:rRNA from 1 species